AGAGUUUGAUCCUGGCUCAGGACGAACGCUGGCGGCGUGCCUAACACAUGCAAGUCGAGCGAAUGAAGUUCCUUCGGGAACGGAUUUAGCGGCGGACGGGUGAGUAACACGUGGGCAACCUGCCUCAUAGAGGGGAAUAGCCUUCCGAAAGGGAGAUUAAUACCGCAUAAGAUUGUAGUACCGCAUGGUACAGCAAUUAAAGGAGCAAUCCGCUAUGAGAUGGGCCCGCGGCGCAUUAGCUAGUUGGUGAGGUAACGGCUCACCAAGGCGACGAUGCGUAGCCGACCUGAGAGGGUGAUCGGCCACAUUGGGACUGAGACACGGCCCAGACUCCUACGGGAGGCAGCAGUGGGGAAUAUUGCACAAUGGGGGAAACCCUGAUGCAGCAACGCCGCGUGAGUGAUGACGGCCUUCGGGUUGUAAAGCUCUGUCUUCAGGGACGAUAAUGACGGUACCUGAGGAGGAAGCCACGGCUAACUACGUGCCAGCAGCCGCGGUAAUACGUAGGUGGCUAGCGUUGUCCGGAUUUACUGGGCGUAAAGGGAGCGUAGGCGGAUUUUUAAGUGAGAUGUGAAAUACUCGGGCUUAGCCUGAGUGCUGCAUUUCAAACUGGAAGUCUAGGGUGCAGGAGAGGAGAAGGGAAUUCCUAGUGUAGCGGUGAAAUGCGUAGAGAUUAGGAAGAACACCAGUGGCGAAGGCGCUUCUCUGGACUGUAACUGACGCUGAGGCUCAAAAGCGUGGGGAGCAAACAGGAUUAGAUACCCCGGUAGUCCACGCCGUAAACGAUGAAUACUAGGUGUAGGGGUUGUCAUGACCUCUGUGCCGCCGCUAACGCAUUAAGUAUUCCGCCUGGGGAGUACGGUCGCAAGAUUAAAACUCAAAGGAAUUGACGG
rnacentral:rRNA from 1 species